rnacentral:rRNA from 1 species
GCCAGACUCCUACGGGAGGCAGCAGUGGGGGAUAUUGCACAAUGGGGGGAACCCUGAUGCAGCGACGCCGCGUGGGUGAAGGAGCGUUUCGGCGCGUAAAGCCCUCUCGGCAGGGAAGAAGGAGGACGGUACCUGACUAAGAAGCCCCGGCUAACUACGGGCCAGCAGCCGCGGUAAUACGUAGGGGGCAAGCGUUAUCCGGAUUUACUGGGUGUAAAGGGGGCGCAGACGGCAGCGCAAGCCAGGAGUGAAAGCCCGGGGCCCAACCCCGGGACUGCUCUUGGAACUGCGCGGCUGGAGUGCAGGAGGGGCAGGCGGAAUUCCUAGUGUAGCGGUGAAAUGCGUAGAUAUUAGGAGGAACACCAGUGGCGAAGGCGGCCUGCUGGACGAUGACUGACGCUGAGGCUCGAAAGCGUGGGGAGCAAACAGGAUUAGAUACCCCCGUA